rfam:Ixodes scapularis strain Wikel colony gcontig_1108378808592, whole genome shotgun sequence.
AUCAUUGUACGAAAAACCCAAAAACAUGAAUAAAAUUCUGUUCUUAUCAGCUUAAUAUCUGAUACGGGUCCUAUUUGGACCCAAGAUAUUAAUCUUUUUUUUAGAGAGGAAGAAGUUGGAACACGUAAGUAAACAAACCGGCCUCGUCCGUGAUUUUCCUAUUUUCUAGCUACAAAAUAGGCUGGAUAAUCAAUC